GGCUUGUUUUCCUGCCAACCAGAACCCUCAUUCCCUCCUCUGUGUUUGUUCCUUUACCUGGACUCCCUUGCCACAUCUGUCCAUCAAGGAGCAAACUAAGCUACCUAAUGGGCAUGGCUCUGACCAAUCACAAUGGACACCAGCCAGUCAGUAUCCUAACAGUGUCAGGAUUCACCCUGCUGCAUCCUGGACAAAAUCUGCCCAGUCUCCAAGAUCCUGUCCAAUCUUAUCAGAGGUAUGGCCACUCCAGCCUUCACUAUUCUCACUCUCUCCCCUGAACCCCUCCUGCAGCCAUCAUCUGGGUCCCACCCAUCAACCCAUAAUGAGAGAGGGGGCUUUGCUAUUUGCUAGAAUGUCUUGUGAGUUUUUCCUUAUUUCCUCAAUUAGACGAAGAGCUCCUUGGGGCAGAGACUGCACUUGACAUCAGUGGUUCUCCUAAGUGUGGUACCUGAAGCAGCAGCAUCAGAAUCACCUGGGACGUUAGAAAUGCAAAUUCUUGGGUCCCACUUCAGAUGUAUUGAGCCAGAAGUUCUGGAAGUGGGCCUGGUAAUCUGUGAUGUAACAAUCACCCUCUGGGUGAUCAUGAUCCAUGCUCAAGUUUGAGAACCAUCAUGUUACAUAAUGGGAAACUAAGGGCAAGUUCUCAUUUCCUGGUCCUGGCUUCUUUGAGGCUCUCUGCUUCGUCCUCCCUCCAUUCUCAUGAGCAGAAGAGACACUGAAAGCAGGAGAGAACAGAAAGCACCAGGCUGCAGUGCGUCAGGUGGAUGGAUGGGGAGGGCCAGCCUACCCAAGACCUCCAACCACCCAGGAGCCAUGUGGGAUAUGCAGUGAGAGCAGCUUGGGAAGAUGCUCAGUUACAACAGAAGCUUCACCUUUGUUGUGUCAUUUCCAGGGGUGUGAGAUGGACUUAGAAGGAAUCCAAGAUGAUUUUUCCAUUAGAAAAAUUGUCUUUGGUGACUUGGGAAAAGGUUUAGUCCAGCAUCGAACAAGAUUUUUCUUUUCUCCUAAUUAAUUUAUUUCCUGCCAAAGAAAUUGACUGUGUCCCUUUAAACAGCACCAACCCCAAAGCAAAGUGUCCCUGGAGGGAAUCAUGGGAUCAAUUUUCCAGCCGGAGACUAUGCAGCCUGACUAUACAGGCUUCAGGCUUUUAAUUUGCUUAUACAUAGAGUGGCUUGAGCUCUAUACAUCACCAAAUCAAUGCAAAUCAGUUUACUUGAAGCUGGUUCAAUUUUAAAAGAAUUUCAUUAACCAGCAAUAAAAGGCCCGGGUUAAUAUAAUUACUAUAGGAUCCCAAGCUCAUCAGGAAGGAUUCCUUUUCUAUAAUGAUCUUAACAUUUAUAUUAUGGCAUUUUCUAAGGAAAACAAAAAAGCAUACCAGAGGAAGAUGCUGAAAAUAAUGCUUUUUACUUAUGGAAUUCAGUGUUGGAACUACCAUUAAACAAACUUCUUUUCCCAAAUGUCAAAGACCUUGGAGAGGAAAUGUAUUCAUUUAAACAUCCAUAUGUGGAUGUCUAUAGAUACCACCCCUAGACACAUGUUCACUGCAUUAUCUAAUCCACACAGGAUUGUAACCACUCAAAGGCAGAAGAGACCUUAGUGGCAUUUAAUAUAAUCGCUUAAUUUUACAGAAGAAACAGAUGCUCAGAGACCAUAACUGGUGAUCAGAGGUCAGCCAUCUGGUUAGAGGGCCUGGAAAGCAGACCUUCACUCCCCUCUCCGUUACUCCCCACUGGUG
rnacentral:lncRNA from 10 species